rnacentral:SRP_RNA from 1 species
GCCAGGUGUGGUGGCACGCACCUGUAGUCCUAGCUACUUGGGAGGCUGAGGUAGGAGAAUCGUUUGAACCCGGGGGGCAGAGGUUGCAGUGAGCCGAGAUCAUGCCACUGCACUCCAGUCUGGGAGACAGAGCGAGACUCUGUCUCAAAAAAAAAGAAAAAAAAAGACGGAAUCUUGCUCUGUCGCCCAGGCUGGAGUGCAGUGUCAUGAUCUCAGCUCACUGCAGCCUUUGCCUCCUGGGCUCAAGUGAUCCUCCUGCCUCAG